ACGAACGCUGGCGGCGUGCUUAACCCCUGCCAGUCGAACGGAAAGGCCCCUUUGGGGGUCCUCGAGUGGCGAACGGGUGAGUAACACGUGAGUAACCUGCCCUUGACUUCGGGAUAACUUCAGGAAACUGGGGCUAAUACCGGAUAGGAAUCCUUGCUGCAUGGUGGGGGUUGGAAAGCUUCGGCGGUUUUGGAUGGACUCGCGGCUUAUCAGCUUGUUGGUGGGGUAGUGGCUUACCAAGGCUUUGACGGGUAGCCGGCCUGAGAGGGCGACCGGCCACAUUGGGACUGAGAUACGGCCCAGACUCCUACGGGAGGCAGCAGUGGGGAAUAUUGCACAAUGGGCGGAAGCCUGAUGCAGCAACGCCGCGUGCGGGAUGACGGCCUUCGGGUUGUAAACCGCUUUCAGCAGGGGCGAAGCUUGUGGUGACGGUACCUGCAGAAGAAGCACCGGCUAACUACGUG
rnacentral:rRNA from 1 species